GAUGAACGCUGGCGGCGUGCCUAAUACAUGCAAGUCGAACGAGGUGCUUGAGUAGCAAUACAAGAGUAUCCUAGUGGCGAACGGGUGAGUAACGCGUGGAUGACCUGCCCCAAAGUGUGGGAUAACAGUCCGAAAGGAUUGCUAAUACCUCAUGUGGUUAUCGGAUUUAGAAACUGAUAACUAAAGCAGCAAUGCGCUUUGGGAGGGAUCUGCGUCCCAUCAGCUAGUUGGUGAGGUAACGGCUCACCAAGGCGACGACGGGUAGGGGACCUGAGAGGGUGGCCCCCCACCAAUAGGAACUAGAAACAACGGUCCGACUAACACCUAACCGGGUGGGCGAGCAG
rnacentral:rRNA from 1 species